GCAGCUAGCCGCUAAUAAGCUAACGAUACACGGGCAGCCUCGGAUCAUGUGAUCUUGUCAGACAGAAACAACCAACGGGAGCUGAGGCCACAGUGAGGAGCUCUGUCUGCCAGCCCUGGUCUCUGCUUUGCCUCUGCUCCCAUACUGGGUAAGCAUUGUUAUCCAGCAGCACCCUGAGAGUCCCCACAUUAUGGCCCACGAGACGGUAGUCAAAGGAAAUUCAUCCACUCGUCUCUGCUCAGUCUCGCCAACGUAGACCUCUCCAUCGUAGUCAAAAGGCUGCUCACGGAUCUUAGGAGGCGGCGUUGCGACUGGUUCAGGGAUAAUAUUUUUUAUGUCGUCGUUGUCCGGUGUACCUCCCAGUAUCCCGGGUCUCACUUGGGAGUCUGGGAUGGCUGCAGGCAGAAACAGAAAUCAGAUUAGACAUGUGGAACUGCAAUCAUGACUGGG